rnacentral:lncRNA from 1 species
AGUGGUGGAUGAAAUUCAGCCUGGGAAAGACCUAUGGACUGGCACAGAAAGAGUGAAACACCACAUGAGCUCUGCUAAGAAGUCAGCCCGGUUGUAGGAAGUCAAUGCAGAAUCAGCUGGGGCCUGGGAGAAGAAAACCACCAACACAUUUCUCUCUGCAGAGCAUUUCCAGCUCACCUCAAGCCUGUGAACCACGCUGGCAUGGCAGCCUUGAUAGUGAUGGAGAGACUCCUGGUGUGCAUCAAUCAACCCAGAGAAGAGGGACCAAAAUAGUUGAUUACUGGGUCUGUCAUGUCUUAUCCUCAGAACAAACCCAAAUUUUCAGUUAGCUUUUAGCAUGGCUUGUUUUCCUCAUCCAUCUGCAUGCCCAGCUAAAACCUUCCAGGAAGUGAUCCUUGUUUCAACAGUAGGUAUGUCAGGUACAGGUAUUUCAAGGAGGAGGUAGUUUAAGCCAAGGGCUGCAUAUUUCCAUGUUUUUCUAACCCCCAGUCAAAAGUCCAUCUGCCACUAAGUGGUUUAUAACUUGAGAGUCAGGCACCACUAUUUUUUAAAAUGUUCUAUAAUGUUUAUAAUGUCAGCCAGUCCCUGUUGCUAACCUCUUUUUUUUUUUUUCUUUUACUUUCUUUACUUUUUUUUUUAAAUUUUUUUUUUGGUAACCCUUUUACCUUCUUUUU